GCAAUUUCAAAAGACAAUCCGCUAUUAAUAUCAGCUGAUUUGUUAGAAAAGAGUUUUCAUAAGAAAAAUUUGGAACGCAAAAAAUCCGAAAUAAAAAAACAACUUUUUGAGAUAUCUUCUAAUACUACUGCUCGAUCAAAUUUAAAAAGAAAUUCAUCCGAAGAAGAUGAAAAAGUCAUAAAAAAGCCAAAAGUUAGUUUUAUUCCUUU